GACGAACGCUGGCGGCGUGCUUAACACAUGCCAGUCGAACGGUGAAGCGCCUUCCUUUUUGGUGGGUGUGGAUGAGUGGCGAACGGGUGAGUAACACGUGAGUAACCUGCCCCCUUCUUCUGGAUAACCGCAUGAAAGUGUGGCUAAUACGGGAUAUUCUGGGUCUGUCGCAUGAUGGGUCUGGGAAAGAUAUUGUUUCGGUGGGGGAUGGGCUCGCGGCCUAUCAGCUUGUUGGUGGGGUGAUGGCCUACCAAGGCGGUGACGGGUAGCCGGCCUGAGAGGGUGGACGGUCACACUGGGACUGAGACACGGCCCAGACUCCUACGGGAGGCAGCAGUGGGGAAUAUUGCACAAUGGGGGCAAGCCUGAUGCAGCGACGCCGCGUGAGGGAUGGAGGCCUGCGGGUUGUGAACCUCUUACGCCAGUGAAGCAGGCCUGCCUCGUUUGUGGGUGGGUUGACGGUAGCUGGAGAAGAAGCGCCGGCUAACUACGUG
rnacentral:rRNA from 1 species